AUUGCCUCAGUAACGGCGAGUGAAGCGGCAAAAGCUCAAAUUUGAAAUCUGGCUCUUUUAGGGUCCGAGUUGUAAUUUGUAGAAGAUGUUUCGGGUGUGGCUCCGGUUUAAGUUCUUUGGAAUAUUACAUCAUAGAGGGUGAGAAUCCCGUAUGUGACCGGCAGCCUUCGCCUAUGUGAAACUCUUUCGACGAGUCGAGUUGUUUGGGAAUGCAGCUCAAAAUGGGAGGUAUAUUUCUUCUAAAGCUAAAUAUUGGCCAGAGACCGAUAGCGCACAAGUAGAGUGAUCGAAAGAUGAAAAGCACUUUGGAAAGAGAGUUAAACAGUACGUGAAAUUGUUGAAAGGGAAGCGCUUGCAACCAGACUUGCACGCAGUUGAUCAUCCGGUGUUCUCACCGGGGCACUCUGCUGCGUUCAGGCCAGCAUCGGUUUUGGUGGUUGGAUAAAGGCCUUGGGAAUGUGGCUUCCUUCGGGGAGUGUUAUAGCCCUCGGUGCAAUGCAGCCUACCGGGACCGAGGACCGCGCUUCGGCUAGGAUGCUGGCGUAAUGGUUGUAAGCGACCCGUCUUGAAACACGGACCAAGGAGUCUAACAUCUAUGCGAGUGUUUGGGUGUUAAACCCAUACGCGUAAUGAAAGUGAACGGAGGUGAGAACCCUUAAGGGUGCAUCAUCGACCGGUCCUGAUGUCUUCGGAUGGAUCUGAGUAAGAGCAUAGCUGUUGGGACCCGAAAGAUGGUGAACUAUGCGUGAAUAGGGUGAAGCCAGAGGAAACUCUGGUGGAGGCUCGCAGCGGUUCUGACGUGCAAAUCGAUCGUCAAAUUUGCGCAUAGGGGCGAAAGACUUAUCGAACCAUUGACACCUACUAGGUGGUAGAGGCCUUAGUACGGCCUAGUCUCACGAG
rnacentral:rRNA from 1 species